UACAGAGGGUGCGAGCGUUAAUCGGAAUUAUUGGGCGUAAAGCGCAUGUAGGUGGUUAGAUAAGUUUGAUGUGAAAUCCCCGGGCUUAACCUGGGAAUUGCGUUGAAUACUGUUUGACUAGAGUCGGACAGAGGGUAGUGGAAUUUCCGGUGUAGCGGUGAAAUGCGUAGAGAUCGGAAAGAACACCAGUGGCGAAGGCGGCUACCUGGGUCCAGACUGACACUGAGGUGCGAAAGCGUGGGGAGCAAACAGG
rnacentral:rRNA from 2 species